UUUGCUGCGAGGCAUGCACUGAAGGAAGCGAGACUACAAACUCCGGUACUGACGAACAGGAACGGUAUACUGAGGCUGGCGAAAGAGGAUAAAUGAGCACAACUUCACAAGGUCCGUAACCAACAAUCUUUUAUCAGUAGAUACCGCAGGAAUCGGAAGAAGGAAUAUGCC
rnacentral:ncRNA from 1 species